AACGCAAAUUGCACUCUCUGGCAACCCGGGGAGUAUGCCUGUUUGAGGGUCAGUGUUAAUAAAAAUCGGGUGCGUUGCAAUUUUUGUGACGUUUCCGGAGUUUGAGUUUAUCUUAAUUAACUUCGGUUUUAAGAGGCUUAAAAUUGACCUUUUUUUUGUGCAUUUUAGACGUACAUAAAUUUUUUUUUAUUCGUCCAUCCUAAUGCCAAAAUCUAUUAGAUGCGACCAUAUCUUGUGGUUCCGUGUCUAUAAAUUUUUCAUGAUUUGACCUCAAAUCAGGUAGGAACACCCGCUGAACUUAA
rnacentral:misc_RNA from 1 species